CUUAGAUGUUCUGGGCCGCACGCGCGCUACACUGAUGGAUUCAACGAGUAUGUGUCGAUUCGUUUCGUACGGUCGACGGUCCUAGACAGGAAUGUCCGGGCAAUCUUUUAAAUGUCCAUCGUGAUGGGGCUAGAUUUUUGCAAUUCUUAAUCUCCAACGAGGAAUUCCUAGUAAACGCAAGUCAUCAGCUUGCAUUGAUUACGUCCCUGCCCUUUGUACACAC
rnacentral:rRNA from 1 species